rnacentral:rRNA from 1 species
GACGUAGGAGGCGAGCGUUGUCCGGAUUCAUUGGGCGUAAAGAGCGCGCAGGCGGCUUGGUAAGUCGGAUGUGAAAUCCCGAGGCUCAACCUCGGGUCUGCAUCCGAUACUGCCCGGCUAGAGGUAGGUAGGGGAGAUCGGAAUUCCUGGUGUAGCGGUGAAAUGCGCAGAUAUCAGGAGGAACACCGGUGGCGAAGGCGGAUCUCUGGGCCUUACCUGACGCUCAGGCGCGAAAGCUAGGGGAGCGAACCGG